AGAGAGCUGAUAAGAAACUGUAGGAUAAAGGUGAGGUUUCAUAUAGACAUACAGACAAACAGAAGAACAGUUUUACUCAGUCCAACACCGUACAAAGAAGGAUGAAGUUCCUCAUAUUGGCUGUUGUUCUCGUGCUGGUCUUGACAGGCGGCUCGGCUCUGGACUGCCUGCACUGCGUCCCAGAGAAAGCAGGAGGGGCCUGCGAGAUCACCGCCGUAACCUGCCCACCGGACAAAGACGCGUGUGCUGCUGCCAAGUUCCGCAGAAGCCCAUACGGCCAUUACCAGAAGUGCAUGCCCAUGUCAGGCUGUGAGAUGGUGAAACAGAACGCUUACAUCAACAUCAAGUGCUGUCAGAAGGACUUCUGCAACACCUUUGACUGAUCUGCCGCUGCUAUAUAUCAGCAUGACUCAUAAAACAGCUUUCAAUAAAAUAGAGUACACAUGAACCAGGUUACGCAUGUUUAUGCGUGUUUUUUAGUGGAAUUUAUGACAAUAUUUACACAUUAAAUUCUUCUUGUUAUGUGCAAUGUUACAAAAAC